rnacentral:rRNA from 1 species
UACGUAGGGUGCAAGCGUUUAAUCGGAAUUACUGGGCGUAAAGCGUGCGCAGGCGGCUUUGCAAGACAGAUGUGAAAUCCCCGGGCUUAACCUGGGAACUGCAUUUGUGACUGCAUGGCUGGAGUGCGGCAGAGGGGGGAUGGAAUUCCGCGUGUAGCAGGUGAAAUGCGUAGAUAUGCGGAGGAACACCGAUGGCGAAGGCAGGUCUCUGGGCUGACACUGACGCUCAUGCAC